rnacentral:rRNA from 2 species
GAUGGAGUGACGGGGGAGGAUAGUUUUACCACUUAUUGGAUUGUGGGGUAAACAGUGACUGGGUUAUGUAGGCAAAUCCGCAUAACUUAACUGGGAGCUGUGAUGCAUAGUGAAAGGGCAACCAAGUAGCGAAUUAAAUGAUUCCAUACCUCUUAAAAAAGCUUCUAACGUUAAGUUUAUAGAAACCCGUACCGAGAACGGACACACGUCCCCAAGAUGAGUAUUCUAAGGCGAGCGAGAAAACCAAUGUCAAGGAACUCUGCAAAUUCAUCCCGUAAGUUCGCAAGAAGGGAUGCCCAUUGUAACAAAUGGGCCGCAGUGAAUAGUAAGGGGGAACUGUUUAUCAAAAACACAGCUCUAUGCUAAGUCGUAAGACGAUGUAUAUGGGGUGACUCCUGCCCAGUGCCCGAAGGUUAAGCAAAGGUGUUAGCAAUUGCGAAGCAUUGAUGUGAAGCCCGGGUGAACGGCGGCCGUAACUAUAACGGUCCUAAGGUAGCGAAAUUCCUUGUCGGCUAAAUACUGACCUGCACGAAAGGAGUAAUUAUCUCUUAACUGUCUCGACAUUGGACUCGGUGAAAUUAUGGUUCCGGCGAAGACGCCGGAUACCCGCAUCUAGACGAAAAGACCCCGUGGAGCUUUACUAUAACUUCAUAUUGGAGUUUGAUUUAACUUGUGUAGGAUAGGUGGGAGACUAGGAUGCUUAAACGCUAGUUUAAGUGGAGUCAACGUUGAAAUACCACCCUUGUUAAAUUGAGCUUCUAACUUGUUACCAUGAUCUGGUAAGAGGACAGUGUGUGGUGGGUAGUUUGACUGGGGCGGUCGCCUCCUAAAGGGUAACGGAGGCGUUCAAAGUUACACUCAAUACGGUCAGAAACCGUAUCAUAGAGCAUAAAGGUAGAAGUGUGAUUGACUGUGAGACCUACAAGUCGAGCAGGUGCGAAAGCAGGACUUAGUGAUCCGGCGGUUCUUCGUGGAAAGGCCGUCGCUCAACGGAUAAAAGCUACCCCGGGGAUAACAGGCUUAUCUUUCCCAAGAGAUCACAUCGACGGGAAGGUUUGGCACCUCGAUGUCGGCUCAUCGCAUCCUGGAGCUGGAGUCGGUUCCAAGGGUUGGGCUGUUCGCCCAUUAAAGCGGUACGCGAGCUGGGUUCAAAACGUCGUGAGACAGUUUGGUUCCUAUCUGAUGUGGGCGUUGGAAUAUUGAUGAGAGCUACUCUUAGUACGAGAGGACCGGAGUGGACGUACCGAUGGUGUUCCAGUUGUUUUGCCAAAAGCAUAGCUGGGUAGCCAAGUACGGCAGGGAUAACCGCUGAAAGCAUCUAAGCGGGAAGCCCCCUCAAAGAUGAGUAUUCCCUAUUAAAUUCCUUAUAGACUAUGAGGUUGAUAGGCUGGAGGUGUAAGUAUAGCAAUAUAUUCAGCUGACCAGUACUAAUAAAUUGAUUGGUUUAAUAGU